rnacentral:rRNA from 1 species
UACAGAGGGGGCAAGCGUUGUUCGGAAUUACUGGGCGUAAAGGGCGCGUAGGCGGCCUUCUAAGUCAGACGUGAAAUCCCUCGGCUCAACCGGGGAACUGCGUCUGAGACUGGAAGGCUUGAAUCCGGGAGAGGGAUGUAGAAUUCCAGGUGUAGCGGUGAAAUGCGUAGAUAUCUGGAGGAAUACCGGUGGCGAAGGCGGCAUCCUGGACCAUUACUGACGCUGAGGCGCGAAAGCUAGGGGAGCAAACGGGG